rnacentral:rRNA from 1 species
GAUGAACGCUGGCGGCGUGCCCAAUACAUGCAAGUCGAGCGAACAGACGAGGAGCUUGCUCCUCUGACGUUAGCGGCGGACGGGUGAGUAACACGUGGAUAACCUACCUAUAAGACUGGGAUAACUUCGGGAAACCGGAGCUAAUACCGGAUAAUAUAUUGAACCGCAUGGUUCAAUAGUGAAAGACGGUUUUGCUGUCACUUAUAGAUGGAUCCGCGCCGCAUUAGCUAGUUGGUAAGGUAACGGCUUACCAAGGCAACGAUGCGUAGCCGACCUGAGAGGGUGAUCGGCCACACUGGAACUGAGACACGGUCCAGACUCCUACGGGAGGCAGCAGUAGGGAAUCUUCCGCAAUGGGCGAAAGCCUGACGGAGCAACGCCGCGUGAGUGAUGAAGGUCUUCGGAUCGUAAAACUCUGUUAUUAGGGAAGAACAAAUGUGUAAGUAACUAUGCACGUCUUGACGGUACCUAAUCAGAAAGCCACGGCUAACUACGCG